AAAAAAACAAAGCUUGGGAGGAAGUAGCUGCUGAAUUCAACCUCAGCUACCCUGCUGAACGUCCCAGGACAGUAACCCAGCUCAAACGGGCUUGGGAGUACAUACGAGUGAAGAAGAAUCACAAGAAAUUUCUUCAUGAGUCCUUCAAGACUGGUGGAGGGCCAUCACCAAAACCAGUCACAGAUGACUUCUUGGCUGUUGCAACAGAUGCACUGGCUGUGGAGCUGCAAUUUGCAGACAACCAGCUAGAUAGCUUAGUACCCAUAGUCAUAAGAGAAGAGGAAGUAGGUCUGUAUUUUGGCUUUCUUUUCUGUUAGUCUUUAAUCAUAUACACAAUCUUACUUAUUGCCUUCAUUUUUCAUACUAUUUCUUUCCCCAUUUGUUAUUAUUAUUAUUUUUUUUUUGGACAGUAGGCUGCCCUGGCAACUGUGAAAUUAUCAUGAAUACGUUGUUUUUUGGAUAUGUUCAUGCAUUGUCAUAUAAUUCUGUUUCAUUCAGUAAAUUUACAGUUACUAGAAAUUUAGGAAAUACACAACAUGUAGUGCGCAAUAGCGUUGAUAGUAAAAUUAACGUUAAUGGCCAUGGACAUCAAUGUUAAAAGUGGAGUUAAAGUUAGGUUAGGUUCAGCUAGGUUGGUAUAGGUUAGGUUAGGUUAGAUUAGCAUAUUUUCAUUUGUGUGCACUGGUAGUGAUUGAUGCAUCAUAAACAUCUUUGUAAAAAUUUUGUUUCCUGUUUUAACAUUAACUUCUCAUCUAGCAGAAAUAAUUGACGACGACAUGCUUCCUGCAUGUACAAUAGCAGCAGGACCAUCGACAACACCAGCAGCAGGACCAGCAACAGCACCAGCAGCAGGACCAGCAACAGCACCAGCAGCAGGACCAGUGACAGCACCACCACCAGGACCAGCAACAGCACCAGCAGCAGGACCAGCAACAGCACCACCACCAGGACCAGCGACAGCACCACCACCAGGACCAGCUUCAGCACCACCAACAGUUACAGCAACAGCACCAGCAAUGGCACCAGCAACACCACCAGCAGGGCCAGCAACAGCACCAGGAGGAACAUCACAAACUGGACCCUCCACCCGUAGAGGCCGAAAGAGACCCCUACGCAGUGAGAGGGAGGAAUGUUUCCGCGCUAUUCGAGAA